CUCUAUUCCCUAAAUCAAGUAACCUAAAGAAAAACUCCUCAAGCUUUUCCCACCGGUGUUGACCACCGCAGUAGACCACCGCCACAGGGCCUUACCAUCGCUGACAACCAUCCAUCAUCCUUCACUUAUUCUCACUCAUUCAAAUUGAUCGCUCUUAAUGUUUCCACCCUCCACCCUUAGAUCUGCAUUGCUAUUCUUGUUUGUUCGUGUCUCAGAUCUCCAUUGCUAGGUUCAGUUCUUAUCUUAAAAGCAUCAUUAAUAGUGGCAGGAAAGUCCAACGCAGAGGUUAAGGAGGUUCUUGAUCAGAUGCUCACUCGUUUGGCUCUCUACGACGAUUCCAAGCUUGAGCCUUUACUCUGCAAUCUUCUCCCUCUCUGCAUAUCUUCACUCUCCUUAAACUCCGCUGUUGUUUGCAACAAGGUGCUUCUGGUGGUCACUUAGAUUCCAUUCUGUUAGCAGGAUUGAAGGUUCAGAAUUUUAUUGAAUGCUGCUUACAAAUAUAUAUAUGAGCCAAAAAAAAGUAAUGAACACACUACUAAAGUAUGCCAAAAUAGAGCCUGUUUUACAGAAUUGGACUUCUACAAUUGGAACCGUGUUAAGCUGAGAUAUUGUGAUGGAGCUUUAUUCACAGGAGACGCUAUCUUCGAUAAUGGGAUAAUUGUCUCACCACAAAUUCACAUGAAUAUGGCUUCUUAUCAUUUCUUUUAAAAAGAUAAUCAGUGCAACGUGUUACACAGUGUAGCAAAACAGAAUGCAUCAACUUCAGAGUUCAGAUACCAUUGCACUUUGAAGCUCUCCUUUCUCAUCAAGAUAUUAAUCACAGUAAACUCAACAAAUAUGAGGGAUCCAUGAAACAAAUGGUAUGAGGGAUCCAUGAAACAAAUGGGUCACUGGAUUAGAAAGAGCCAAGUCUGACCCAAAUAGCAAAUUUGGUGAACCAAACCAAACCAAGCUUCGCUGUCUUGGCCUGGUCAGGUAGUAAAGAACAGAAACUGAUGAUUGUAACUGCAUAACAGGAUUGGAACUUGGGAGGAGGUACCAUUUCAAAAGCUAAAAAUGGUUGGAAAGAGAUUAAGCAUAACCUUAACAAUAACAUUCGCUAUUAUUUCCUUCUCCACUUCAAUCUCUAGUAUGUUACACACAGAACUACUUUUCUCAUGUUCUCUUUGAUUGUUUAUUUAUUUAUUUUUUAUGAGUAUUUACUAAAAGUUCAAAGCUUUGUACCUGUCCGUGUUUUGUUAGCAUCUCUCAAGUCUUCUGAAGAGAGAACUUUUGCGUGGUCUAGAAUUCAAAAUAAAUUUCCGUUGCAAGUAUAGUUUCUAAACCAACAAAAGUCCUUUCUUGCAAACGUUUUGGUUGUCACAAGUAACAAACCCCUAAAUAAAUUGAUAACUGAAGUAUUUAAAGCUCGGGUCGUCUUCUCAAGGAAUUGUAGGGAAGUAUGAAUUAUUAUUGGUUAUGCAAAACAGUGUUUUUGGGGGUUGAAAAGGUUUUGAACAAGAGAAAGGGAUUGCAGGGAAUUAAUAGAUUAAUAACUAAUAAAACUCUUGGCAAGGUAUGAAAACUGGAGGUCUUAUCCCUGUUAUCCUUAUCAAUUGUGAUGAGAAUUGUAUUUUUCUCCCACUAUGUUAACCUCUAACUAUGAAGGUAAGUUAAGUGGAUGAAUUGAUUCAAAUCCUCAAAUUCCAGUCUUUCCUUGGGAAAAGUUAGAAUUAUUGGAUCUCGAAUUAAUUCUUGAAGAAUUCCAAUUUUUAGUCAACAAUGAGUUUGACAACUCAAGAGUUACCAAUUAAUCAACCAAAGCCAAAAGGGAAUAAAAUCUAAAUCAAAUUAAAAGCAUCAAUAACAUAAAUAGAAGAAGGCAA